rnacentral:rRNA from 1 species
AACGAACGCUGGCGGCAGGCCUAACACAUGCAAGUCGAGCGAGGACUUCGGUCCUAGCGGCGGACGGGUGAAUAACGCGUGGGAACGUGCCCUUUGCUUCGGAAUAGCCCUGGGAAACUGGGAGUAAUACCGGAUGAGCCCUUUGGGGGAAAGAUUUAUCGGCGAAGGAUCGGCCCGCGUUGGAUUAGGUAGUUGGUGGGGUAAUGGCCUACCAAGCCGACGAUCCAUAGCUGGUUUGAGAGGAUGAUCAGCCACACUGGGACUGAGACACGGGACAGACGACUAAGAGAGGCAGCAGUGGGGAAUACUGCGCAAUGGGCGAGAGCGGGACGGAGCGAAGCCGCGUGGGUGAAGAAGGCCUUCGGGUCGGAAAGAACGGUGAUUGGGGAGGAAGAGAUGAACCCGAAGACCGGGACGCAGUGACGGUAACGGAAGAAGAAGCACCGGCUAACUCCGUG